CCUACGGGGGGCUGCAGUAGGGAAUCUUCCGCAAUGGACGAAAGUCUGACGGAGCAACGCCGCGUGAGCGAAGAAGGUCUGCGGAUCGUAAAGCUCUGUUGUUAGGGAAGAAUAAGUAGGGGAGGAAAUGACCGUACCUUGACGGUGCCUAACGAGGGAGCCACGGCUAACUACGUGCCAGCAGCCGCGGUAAUUCGUAGGUGGCAAGCGUUGUCCGGAAUUAUUGGGCGUAAAGCGCGCGCAGGCGGUCUUUUAAGUCUGAGGUGAAAUCUUGCGGCUCAACCGCCAGCGGUCAUUGGACACUGGGAGACUUGAGUGCAGAAGAGGAAAGCUGAAUUCAACGUGUAGCGGUGAAAUGCGUAGAGAUGUGGAGGAACACCAGUGGCGAAGGCGGCUUUCUGGUCUGUAGCUGUCGCUGAGGCGCGAAAGCGUGGGGAGCAAACAGGAUUAGAUACCCGUGUAGUC
rnacentral:rRNA from 1 species